GGAGGGAUGCGUACUUGGGUCUAGUUGUGGGGGAGGAAGUGACCAGUUCAGGGUCUCGGGACAGACCGGGAGAGAUGGUUGAGUUACAUGAGACUGGGGGCCCUGGGAGUACGAGAAGGAAGCUUGACAAGGAGACUAGGUCUGAAGAAACCACAGUGGGGCAGGCUGCGUGGUGGAAAAUGCCCGCAGGAGCCCCCAGAGAGGACAGCCAUGCUCCAGGCCAGGCUGUCCCUACUGCCUGCUGGAGAGGGAACUUGACCUCUGGGAGGGAGCCGCUCUUGCAUGGCUGAGCGAGCCCCCGUGCGCUGGUCUGUGUGGAAGGAGGAAGGCAGGGAGAGGUAGAAGGGGUGGAGGAGCCAGGAGGAAUGAAUGGGCUGCUGCGGCCCUGGAAACGAUCAGGAAGGCAGGCAGUGGGUGCAGGGCUGCAGAAGGGCCGGGAGGGCCGAGCUUCAACUUGUCCAUGCCAGCGGCCCCUUUUUUUCCAGACCAAGGGCUGUGAACCCGCCUGGGGAUGAGGCCUGGUCUUGUGGAACUGAACUUAGCUCGGCGGGGCUGACCGCUCUGGCCCAGGGUGGUGGCAGUGCUCCUUUUGGACUUUUCUCUAGGUUUGGCGCUAAACUCUUCUGUGAGCUCACUCCACCCCUCCUCCUCCCUUUAACUUACCCAUUCACUUAAAACAUUACCUGGUUGUCUGGUAAGCCCGGGACAGUAGCCGAGUGGCUUUUGGAGUCGGUAUUGUUGGUAAUGGUGGAGAAAGAGAGGCCUUCCCGCUGAGGCUGGGGUGGGGCGGAUCGGUGUUGCUUGCCUGCAGAGAGGGUGGGGAGUGAAUGUGCACCCCUGGGUGGGCCUGCAGCCAUCCAGCUGAAAGUCAUAAAAAUGCCUUAUAGACCGUGGUUUGUUACUAUAGUGUUCCUCAUGGCGAGCAGAUGGAACCGGGAGACAUGGAGCCCCUGGCCAGUGUGAGUCCUAGCAGUGCAGGAGGGGAGACCAUGGAGGAGAGAGCCCGCCUCAAUUGAUGCCUGCAGAUUGAAUUUCCAGAGGCUUAGGAGGAGGAAGUUCUCCAAUGUCGUGUUUCCAGGCCUUGCUGGGGAAGCCCUGUAUUCAGGAGGCAACCAUUUAAAGUUUUCAGAUGAGCUUAUGGGGGGCAAUCUUAAAAUAUCCACAGCAGAUGCAUCCGGCUCGAGGUGCCAUCAGCUUUGAAUAAAUGCUUGUUCCAGAGCCCAUGAAUGCCAGCAGGCACCCCUCCUUUCCUGGGGUAAAGGUUUUCAGAUGCUGCGUCUUCUAAAUUGAGCCUCCGGUCAUACUAGUUCUGUGCUUGGAACCUUGCUUCAAGAAGAUCCCUAAGCUGUAGAACAUUUUAACGUUGAUGCCACAACGCAGAUUGAUGCCUUAUAGAUGGAGCUUGCAGAUGGAGCCCCGUGACCUCUCACCUACCCCCCCUGUUUGCCUGCCUGCCUAUGCGUUGCUCGGAGAAGUUCUUAGCCUGAUGAAAUAACUUGGGGUGUUGGAAAGCUGUUUAAUUUUAAAUGCCUUAGACGGGGGAUGUAUUAGAGGAAGCAGAUUGUCGAGAGUGUCAUUGUGUUAUGCUAAACUCUGGGAGGGUACAAAUUGGUCAUUCCCAAAUCUGUGUGUGAAAAAUGGCAGGUCUAGUUUGGGCAUUGUGAUUGCAUUGCAGAUUACUAAGAGAAGGUAAUGGUGGGUAUACCGGUAGUGCUCUUUUGUUCUUGCUUCGUUUUUUUGCACCUGAACUUCGUUAGAUUUCAUAAUGCUUUUUUGGCAUUUUAAUAAGAGGACCCUGAGGUGGGAGUUGUGGGAGACCGGGAGAAGGGGACAGCUUGGCACUGGUCACGUGGGAUUUGCAGUGUGGGGGAUGGGGGUGUGCAGCUUGGCACUGGUACUGGGAGGGAUGAAGGUGAGGAAGGGGAGAGGGUUGGUUAGGUAUAUAGUGUGGGUGGUAGGAAAUGCAGGUUGAAGGGAAAUUCUCUGGGGCUUUGGGGAGUUUUGUGCGGUGGGUGAGCCAAGAAAAUACUAAUUAAUAAUAGUAAGUGUUGGUUAAGUUGUUGCUUGGAAGUGAAAAGUUGCUUAGAAAGGUUAGAACUUUAAGUG
ensembl:lncRNA